rnacentral:rRNA from 1 species
CGCGCAGGCGGGAAUACAAGUCAGAUGUGAAAACUCCGGGCUUAACUUGGAGACUGCAUUUGAAACUGUAUUUCUUGAGGACAGGAGAGGAAAGCGGAAUUCCUAGUGUAGCGGUGAAAUGCGUAGAUAUUAGGAGGAACACCAGUGGCGAAGGCGGCUUUCUGGACUGUAACUGACGCUGAGGCGCGAAAGCGUGGGGAGCAAACGG